AACUUUUAACAAUGGAUCACUUGGCUCUCGCAUCGAUGAAUGUGAAUUGCAGACAGUGUAUCAUUGAACUCAUCUUGCGCUCCUGGAAUCGCGGAGAGUGUGUCUGAGUGUUACGAUCCUCGUCCACCCCCCAAGAUGGUCUUCUUGUUCAUCCCGCGGUCGCAUCGGACGGAUCGCGACUCGCUGAAUUUGAGACAUUACGCACUGUUGCGGCCUGAUCCAAUUGUAAAGUUUCUUUUGCCGUUGGAGACGCCCGACACCGCGAACAACCCCCACAACCCUAGAUUCAUUUUAAGCCUUUCGACCUCAGAUCAGGCAGGACUACCCGCUGAACUUAAGCAUAUCAAUAAGCGGAGGCU
rnacentral:misc_RNA from 1 species